rnacentral:lncRNA from 1 species
GGGAGUGGAUGUUGUGAUGUAACAUGACUAAUAGGUAAAAGAAUGUAAAAAUUACUAUAAUAUAAGAAAUCUUACUUCAAAAUAUUAGAGCAAAUUAUCUUAGAGAUAUAAUUAAUAGACAAAAGGAUAGUGAAACUAAAAAGUACCAAUAUUAUCUUUUACAAAUGGCCUUCUACUUACUUUAUUGGACCAUAAAUAAGGCAAAAUAAAGUAGAUUAGAAAAAUAAAGAAUAUGAGCAUUUGUAGGAAGAAGUUAAGAAUUGAUUUUAAUAAAAUUUAACUCAAAAGAAAAAAUAUUUGAUACUUGAGGAGGGCCAAUUAUCAACCUAGGUCGAAAUCAAAUCCCAAGACACAAAACCAAGCACCUACAACAACUCUGAGAUUUUUUUUUUCUAGAUUGGAGAGUGGGAUUUGAUAGAAAACUGGAUAAGAUUUCUAUGAGCAUUUUUUUUGUGUGAUUUGGAUUCAUAAUGACUUUGUAAGAACUUUAUAAAGUCAAGUUUGUUUUAAGAUGACUGGAAUUUUGGUGAAAUAAAAUAAAGUUGACGUUUUGGACAAUGUCAAGAGUUUUGUAAUAGAUCUAUAGGUGAAAUUUUGUAGAUUAAUGGUUAUAGUUGUACUUAGUAUGUAUUGUGAAUUUUAGCUAGAUGUAACAAUUGAAUUGAGGAUUAUUGAGGUUUAAGUGGGUUAUGGUCUCAAAAUUUAGGGUUUUGAAGACCAAUGAAGAUUUUUAAGAAAUCUUGCAAUCUAUCACUUGAAAUUAGAGUGAAAGUUGUGUGUUUAGGUAGUAGACUUAUUUUUCUUUGUAUGGAAGAAUUUUGAGAUUGAUUGAAUGGAUUGAUAAGAAGAAAUUGGCAUUGAAAAUUCAGCAUUGAGAUUGGAAAAGAAGGUCAAUGCACACCCAAGCACAUUUUUGUGAUUAUCAUUCAUUUGAAGUUAAGAAUAUUAUCUUGCUCUUCAAAAAUUUUGAGUUCAAUCAACAAGUUGGAUUGGAAGAAAUUGAGUACUUAACUUUUGUAUUUUGAAGGAUAUUGGUUUUUGCUAUUGGAUAUUGAUUAUUACUACUGGAUAUUGGUUGUUGCUACUAGAUAUUGAUUGUUGGUAUUGGAUAUUGGUUAUUACUAUUGGAUAUUGGUUGUUGCUAUUGAUUAUUAGCUAUUGCUACUGGAUAUUGAUUUAUGCUACUGAAUAUUGACUAUUGCUACUAGAUAUUAGUUACUGCUAUUGAUUUUAGAUUAUUGCU